AACGCACGAGACCUGCGGACCUGCGGAGGGAUCAUUAGUGAACGCCCUCACGGGCUUAUAACUAUUCCAAACCUCUGUGAACCGUGCCCCUCGGGGCUAUUUUACAAACAUGGUGUAAUGAACGUCAUAUAUCAUAACAAAACAAAACUUUCAACAACGGAUCUCU
rnacentral:misc_RNA from 1 species